rnacentral:rRNA from 1 species
UCAACGGAGAGUUUGAUCCUGGCUCAGGAUGAACGCUGGCGGCGUGCUUAACACAUGCAAGUCGAACGAUGAUCCCCAGCUUGCUGGGGGGAUUAGUGGCGAACGGGUGAGUAACACGUGAGUAACCUGCCCUUAACUCUGGGAUAAGCCUGGGAAACUGGGUCUAAUACCGGAUAUGACUGAUCAUCGCAUGGUGGUUGGUGGAAAGCUUUUUGUGGUUUUGGAUGGACUCGCGGCCUAUCAGCUUGUUGGUGAGGUAAUGGCUUACCAAGGCGACGACGGGUAGCCGGCCUGAGAGGGUGACCGGCCACACUGGGACUGAGACACGGCCCAG